UUUCACAUGAGUUUUUGUUAUCCAGUAAACCCUUUCAUUUUUAUGGGCAAAAAGAAAGGUAAGUACCAGCUACAAAUAUUUAAAACCUUCUAACGUUCCCUACGAAGAAUUUUCUUUGAAACUAGAGGUUACUUGUUUGCCCCGCAAUAUACGAAUUCAACCAAAUUUGUAAACAUACGGAGUGUAAUUUAUAAACACUCUAUGUUUACAUAAUCACAUCAAAAAUCAAUAGACUCAAACGUUACGCAAUAUGCACACACGUAUUGUCCCAUAAAUGAAAAUGAUAUUUAAAUGCUUAAAGCAACAUAUUCAGUAAUCUAACAAAAAUGACGUAUGUUAUUUCUGAAAAUUAUAAUGCAUUCAGAUUCCUAGAAACAUAAUUUGUUGUUGCUGUUUAGCAUUCAGCUAUCGUCGAACAGACAUAUAGUCAAAUAACCAUAAACCAAACCUAUUUUCACAGAUACUGUGUAUAAAAGACGUUAUAUUCAAGACGGUAAGAUGUCAUCAGUCAAAUUUGACUGUUUUAUUUGAUAUUCAGAGUAUCAACAUAGAAGCCCCUUUAUGUAUACAAUGAACGUGUACGAAACUAGGAAGUGUAUAAUGACAACAUAGUGUACAUAGAUAUCAAUAUUUUGCGCAAUUCUAAAGUGUCUCCAAAACUAUUGCGCAAUUAUAAAUACUUCUAAACUUUAACAACUGUGGAAUUAUUUUGUAUGAUUUUCGAUCAGUUUCUCACCAUGUUUCUCUCUCCCACUCUUUCUCUCAUAUUUUCUAUCUCUCUGCUUUUCUUGCUCUCUUUCAUUCUCUCUUUCUCUCUCUCAAUGACUGUGCAUGUGAAUGCGUGUGCAUCUGUCUGUAUAUUUGUGUGUAAAUAUAUAUUUGCAUAUAUAUAUAUAUAUAUAUAUAUAUAUAUAUAUAUAUAUAUAUAUAGCUUUACGUUAAUCUAGGUAUCUGGGUAUGAAUGUAAUAUGUGUUAGAGCGACAGAUGGUAUGUAAGGAUUUGUGUGGUAUAAUAUUUAUCAAUCUAUUUUAUUUUCCCUUCCGCCUCUUUCUCAAUUUCUCUCUGUUGUGAAGGAGCCCAGAUUUCUCUUUUCACUACAGUUUUAUCACAUGUGCAAGCACAUUAAUGUAAAUAAACAUGCUUAUUACGCAACAACACAUAUCUGAGUAGAUAUCAAUCAAUUACUAAAUAAUGCAUUCUCAUAUAUAUAUAUAUAUAUAUAUAUAUAUAUAUAUAUAUAUAUACAGACAUACACACAUAUAUAUAUAUAUUAAUGCAUACAUUUAUAUGUAUGUUUGUAAUGUUUGUGGAUAUAUAUAUAUAUAUAUAUAUAUAUAUAUAUCCAUUCACAUAUAUAAGUAUAUAUAUAUAUAUAUGGUAUGGAUAUAUACACACACAUACGUAUACAUACAUAAUUACAUGCAUACAUACAUACAUACACACAUGCAUGUAUGCAUGCAUGCAUACAUACAUACAUAAUACAUACACAUAUGCAUGUAUGCAUACAUGCAUACAUACAUACAUACAUACCAACACAAAUGCAUGUAUGCAUGCACGCAUACAUACAUACAGAAAUACAUACACAUAUGCAUGUAUGCAUACAUGCAUACAUACAUACAUACAUACACACAUGCAUGUAUGCAUGAAUGCAAACUUACAUAUAUUCACGCAUACAUUUGUAGCAACAUCAAACAUUUUGUUGCAAUCAUGUUUGAAGCAUAAAGAACAUCGUCAUAUUUUACUGAAGAACCAUAUGUGCAGCUUUGCAGCGUUGUACAAAUAUACAUACCUACCUACAUACAUACAUGUAUACCUACAUACAUACAUACACACACAUAUUUAUAUAUGUAUGUCUGUGUGUGUGUCGAUGGAGAUGGGAAGUGAGUGAUUGGGAGAGAGAGAAAGAGUUAGGUAGUUAGAUAUAUGGCUGCCUUUUAUAUGCAUACAUGUGUGUGUGUGAGUGUCUUUGUGUGUGUGUGCAUUUAUGUGUAUGUGAUAAGAGGUCUGCUUCCCAGACACAUGCUUUACGGGGUUAUUCUUACUGUGUUGCAUCUUGGGUGACGGCCCUCCAAUCUAACCCUAGGAUGACAAAGGACUUGUGAAGGAAUUUGCCCGACGAAAACUGCAAGAAGGCUGUCAUAUAUACAUAUCUUUAUCUAUCUGUCUCUGUAUGUGUCUCUAUUUGUUCUGUAUUUGUCUCCCAACACUAUCCUACAACCGACGUUGGUGUCCUUAUGUCUAUAUAAGUUAGCGGUUCAAUAAAACAGACCGUUAGAAGAGGUUUCAUGCUUAAAAGUAUACAAUGGGAGCGAUUCUCACAACCAUUCAUGCCCGUCCCACAACAUGCGUAUAUGUGUACAUUUAUAUGUACAUGUAUGUGUAUAUACGCACACACAUACACACACACAUACGCAUAUGCGCACACAUACACACGCACACAUAAAUAUAUAUAUGUACACAUGUAUAUAUAUAUAUGCGUAUAUAUAGAUAUACAUACAU
rnacentral:lncRNA from 1 species